UCCCUCUCAGAUUCGCACCUGGAGAGUUUCCAGUACUCUACCAGUCUCGGCUACGGGAGGGAGAGUCAAGCAGAGGCCUGCCUAUUCCAAUCCUAGUUCGGGCAGUGGCUAGAGAAUGGAAGGCAAUCUGCUACAAAU